UUUACUGAGAGUUUGAUCCUGGCUCAGGAUGAACGCUGGCGGCGCGCCUAACACAUGCAAGUCUAUCCUCGAUUUAUCGGGGAGGCAAACGGGUGAGUAACACUUUGGUAACCUGCUCUCGACUUGGGCAUAACCUAGAGAAAUUUAGGAUAAUACCCAAUAGACAUAGGGGGACGACAAGUCAUUCCUAUGCAAAGAUUUUUCGGUCGAGAAGGGGCCUAAGGCCUAUCAGCUUGUUGGUAAGGUAAUGGCUUACCAAGGCUAUGACAGGUAGCUGGUCUGAGAGGAUGAUCAGUCACAUCGGCACUGAGAUACGGGCCGGACUCCUACGGGAGGCAGCAGUGAGGAAUUUUGCACAAUGGGGGAAACCCUGAUGCAGCGACGCCGCGUGAUCGAAGAAACCCUUCGGGGCGUAAAGAUCUUUUCUAGAGGAUGAUUUGACAGUACUCUAGGAAUAAGCAACGGCUAACUUCGUGCCAGCAGCCGCGGUAAUACGAAGGUUGCAAGCGUUAUCCGGAAUCAUUGGGCGUAAAGCGUCUGUAGGUGAUUUUGUAAGUCUUUUGUUAAAUCCCAGUGCUCAACAUUGGGACUGCAGGAGAUACUACAAGAAUUGAGGAAGACAGGGGUAGAUGGAAUUCCCGGUGUAGCAGUGAAAUGCGUUAAUAUCGGGAGGAACACCACUAGCGAAAGCAGUCUACUAGGUCUUUCCUGACACUGAGAGACGAAAGCGUGGGUAGCGAAGGGGAUUAGAUACCCCCGUAGUCCACGCCGUAAACGAUGGAUAUUAGGUAUGGGGAGAGUCGACCCUUUCCGUACCGUAGCUAACGCGUUAAAUAUCCCGCCUGGGAAGUACGGUCGCAAGACUAAAACUUAAAGGAAUUGACGGGGACCCGCACAAGCGGUGGAGCAUGUGGUUUAAUUCGACAAUAAGCGAAGAACCUUACCAGGGCUUGACUUCUAGGAGGUCUUUUGAAAGAAAGACGUGCCUUCGGGAACCUAGAAUCAGGCGUUGCAUGGCUGUCGUCAGUUCGUGGCGUGAGCUGUACGGUUAAGUCCGGAAACGAGCGCAACCCUUGUUCUGUGUUAUAUUUCUCACAGAAGACUGCCGGCGUAUAGUCGGAGGAAGGUGGGGACGACGUCAAGUCAGCAUGACCCUUCGAUGCCCUGGGCGACACACGUGCUACAAUGGCUAGUACAAAGGGACGCGAAGCCGCGAGGUGGAGCUAAUCCUGUCAAAACUAGUCUCAGUUCGAAUUGGAGUCUGCAACUCGACUCCAUGAAGUUGGAAUCGCUAGUAAUCGUAGGUCAGCCACACUACGGUGAAUACGUUCUCGGGUCUUGUACAAAUAAAUUGCGCCUUCCUAUAGCAUUGUUU
rnacentral:rRNA from 1 species